rnacentral:tmRNA from 1 species
GGGGGCGAUUGGAUUCGACGGGUUAGUAGAAGGUCGGGACGCGUGCCCAGGUCCAAGUCACCUGGUUAAACACUUGGAAAAGUUCAACUGCCAACUCUGACUUGGCGCUGGCUGCGUAAGCUGAGCUAGUCUCGCUUUCGCACCACCGGAGAAGGGAGCCCUGCCUGGGGCGCCCCAACCGGAAUCGAAAAUCCAGGCUGGUUCGUGGCGUCGCUCUCGCGUCACGGGCGAGAAACCGAGGGCUCGGUUCGUCGAAGGCUGGUCGGUCGCCGGCGCCGGACUAGAGUAGAAAGAUCGGCCUACGCACGUAGUGGCCUUGCUGGAAGCUGAUUCGGACCAGGGUUCGAUUCCCUGCGCCUCCAUCC